rnacentral:rRNA from 1 species
UACGUAGGCAGCAAGCGUUGUUCGGAAUUACUGGGCGUAAAGAGUGUGUAGGCGGUGCUCUAAGUUCGGUGUGAAAUCUCCCGGCUCAACUGGGAGGGUGCGCCGGAAACUGGAGUGCUGGAGCGCGGGAGAGGAAAGCGGAAUUCCUGGUGUAGCGGUGAAAUGCGUAGAUAUCAGUAGGAACACCGGCGGUGUAGACGGCUUUCUGGACCGUAGCUGACGCUGAGACACGAAAGCGUGGGUAGCAAACAGG